rnacentral:rRNA from 1 species
AAUAUUGGACAAUGGGGGCAACCCUGAUCCAGCCAUGCCGCGUUUGUGAAGAAGGUCUUCGGAUUGUAAAGCACUUUAAGUUGGGAGGAAGGGCUUUAGGCUAAUACCCUGAAGUUUUGACGUUACCAACAGAAUAAGCACCGGCUAACUCUGUGCCAGCAGCAGCGGUAAUACAGAGGGUGCCAGCGUUAAUCGGAAUUACUGGGCGUAAAGCACGCGUAGGUGGUUCAGUAAGAAGUGUGUGAAAUCCCCGCGCUUAACCUGGGAACUGCUUUCAUAAAUGCUGAGAUAGAGUACGGUAGAGGGUAGUGGAAUUUCCUGUGUAGCGGUGAAAUGCGUAGAUAUAGGAAGGAACACCAGUGGCGAAGGCGACUACCUGGACUGAUACUGACACUGAGGUGCGAAAGCGUGGGGAGCAAACA